GACAGAGGGUGCAAACGUUGUUCGGAAUGACUGGGCGUAAAGCGCGUGUAGGCGGCCUCGCAAGUCAGGUGUGAAAGCCCUGGGCUCAACCCAGGAAGUGCACUCGAAACUGCAAGGCUUGAGUCCCGGAGAGGAAAGCGGAAUUCUCGGUGUAGAGGUGAAAUUCGUAGAUAUCGGGAGGAACACCAGUGGCGAAGGCGGCGAUCUGGGAAGAUACUGACGCUGAGGUGCGAAAGCGUGGGGAGCAAACAGG
rnacentral:rRNA from 1 species